rnacentral:rRNA from 1 species
AAUAAUUUGUCAAACAAGAUUAUUCGCCAGAGAACUACUAGCAACAGCUUAAAACUCAAAGGACUUGGCGGUGCUUUAAACCCCCCUAGAGGAGCCUGUUCUGUAAUCGAUAAACCCCGAUAGACCUCACCACCCCUUGCUAAUUCAGUUUAUAUACCGCCAUCUUCAGCAAACCCUUAAAAGGAACAAGAGUAAGCAUAAUCAUCUCGCAUAAAAAAGUUAGGUCAAGGUGUAACCCAUGGGGUGGGAAGAAAUGGGCUACAUUUUCUAUUUAAGAACACCUUACGAAAGUUUUUAUGAAACUAAAAACUAAAGGUGGAUUUAGUAGUAAACCAAGAAUAGAGAGCUUGGUUGAAUA